rnacentral:misc_RNA from 1 species
UAUUUAGCCAUCUGAGACACUUGAGGCAAUAUUCCAUUAUCAUUUUUCUAUGUAACAUUUCAAUUUUCAAUUUCGCUUUGGAUUUGGGGAGUAGAGUCAGAGUGGUGUGGUAGUGUGGAGUGUGGAGAUUUGAAUAAAAAUGUAUAAAAUGUUGAGGCCGAAUGAAUGCGUUAGUUACUUUUCUAAUAUUAUUAUUAUUUGAUUAUUUAUUUUGCUGAUGUUCUAAUAUACUUUAAUAUUUCUAGUGUAUUUUGAUUGUUUUAAUUUUAUAUUUGUAAAGAUUGUGUUUAAUUAAAAAUGGAAACGCAAUAUUUGACUGCUCAACACCUCGCAGGCUUUGAAAACUAUAAAUACAGUUCGUUGGACACCAGCCCCCUUAGUGUUUACGUGAUGCAUCCAUUCUGGAACAGAGUAGUUCUGCUCUGUCCAAAGUGGGUGGCGCCUAACGUUCUGACGUUUGUGGGGUUCCUGUUUACUGCCGGUGCGUGCCUGCUGCUAUCCAUCUAUGAUUACGAGUUCUAUGCCAGCAGUUCUGAUCACCCCGAGUACCCACCCAUUCCGCCUUGGGUCUAUUUGGUCACUUCCAUCAGCAUCUUUGUCGCCUACACACUAGAUGGUAUCGACGGAAAGCAGGCACGACGCACACAGACCAGUGGACCACUUGGGGAGUUGUUUGACCAUGGAUUGGACUCGUGGACGGCAGUGCUCAUCCCCACUUGUCUCUACUCCGUCUUUGGUCGCACUGACUACUCUGUACCUCCCAUUCGCUUCUACUUCGUCUGCUGGAACGUAUUUCUCACCUUCUACUCCUCUCACUGGGAGAAGUACAACACCGGCGUGCUCUUCCUGCCUUGGGGCUAUGAUCUCUCCAUGAUUGCAUCAACUCUUGUGUUCCUGGUUACGUACAUGUUUGGUCACGAAUGGUGGAAGUUCACGGUGUAUGGAGACAUAGCCACUGGCCACGUCCUUGAAAUUCUGUUCUACUUGAGCUCCUUUGCUUCCAACUUGCCUGUCGUCCUCUGGAACAUCUACAAGUCAUACCGAGAUAAGACUGGUAAGAUGAGGUCCAUGUGGGAGGCUAACAGACCCCUACAACCCGUGUUGUUGUUCCUCGGUGUAUGUGCCAUCUGGGCAUACCACUCACCUACUGAUAUCAUCAGCAGAGAUCCCAGGGCCUACUAUCUUAUGUCUGGGACAAUCUUCUCCAAUAUUUGUUGUCGCUUGAUAGUGUCCCAGAUGUCUAACACUAGGUGUGACAAUUCCAACUGGUUGCUAGGACCUGCCUUCCUCUGCACCGGACUCUCCCUCCUGCUCUCUUCCCACUACCUGGAGAUCUCACUGCUCUAUGCUCUCUGGGCUCUGUCCACUAUAGCCCACAUACACUACGGCACCUGUGUGGUGAGACAGAUGUGUCGGCACUUCAGGAUCUGCUGUUUCCAGAUCAAACCUCGGCCGCACUCAGAAUGACUGUUAGCGGACAGCGCGUGAUGUGAGACCCCUUCCUUUCGACACGUAGUAUCUCCACACUUCACUCACCUGUGUAGAGUUCUUCGGAACAGAGCAUUAUUUCUCUCAUUGUGCUGAGAAUUUCCAAGACCUCAACAAGCCUGGCUCUUUUGUGAACUAAGUUCAACCACAUUUCUGUGCCGGAGUUAUGCUGUAUUUUAUGUUUCAGUCACAAAACGAUAUAUAGGUACACAUCAACUUUGAGAUACUCAUGUAGAUAAAUAGAUGUUAAGUAUAAUUUUAGAAAUUGCUCGCUAUUUAUCUAAGUAAUAAGUGCAUAAUAACACAAGGUAUUACAAAAGUUCUAAGAUGGUUAAAUAUGUUUUAUUUUGUGCUCAAAAAAUAAACUGUUUAGAUUACAUUUUGGACGUUAGGAAGGAACUAUUCAUACUCAUGGAUACUUGUCAUUUCCUGCUACAAUCAGAUGAUGGGCUGUUUGGAAAAUUAAGCAUGGAUUUAGUUGUGUAUAAUUUCAAAAUUAGAGAUAAGCAGAGCUCCUGAAUGGACCUCUGCAUAUAGCUGAUAUUUCUAUUCAACCUAAUUAUAAGGAAAUGUCCAAGUAUCUGUGAUGGAUUGGUUACAGUUUAAUUAUUGUGUUCUGCAUUUGCAGUAGAAAAUGUCAGGUAUCCAUGUUUGAGAAUACUUUGUCAUGCUAUAAACUUAAAAUGUAUAAUUUUAAUUUUUAGAAUCAGCCCAUCCAUAAUUUAAAAGUAAAUAUAUAGGAUUAAAAAUUAAAACUAUUUUAGUUAUUAAGUUCUAAUGGACAAACUUUAUUGUUCAAAAAUCAUACAAAUGAAAAAUAUUGCAAAUAGAAGGUAUUGACCGGUAAUAAACAUAAUAUAUCAUUUUACUUGUAACAAUAGGCUGGAAUCAUGUUGCAUUUCUCAUUUAAUGAAGCUUCUUGUCUCUUUUAAGUUAUGUUUGGUCUUGUGGUUUGUGUGAAGUACGUGUCCAGCUCAGGUGGUGGGCCUAUGUCAUGUGUUGUCCCUCGGACGCAUUUACUUUAUUUGUAUUUAUAUUUACAAUUUAUUAAGGAUCGCCUUAAGUAUAUAUAUAUAUAUAUGUGUGUGAAACUAGGUCAAGAUUCUAUAAUAAAGGGGGUAGUUACCUCUUUAUUCAAUUAUAUAUUAUCGGUAUAUUCUCAGUUCUCUUGAUAUUUAUGUAUAAUAAGUUUUCUUUUUGUUGUUAAUUUAAUUUGUUUUAUAUAAUUGUUUGAUUAGUUUUAUGAUACUAUUUAUCUGACCAUUUUCGCUGAGUAGUUAAACACACAGUAGCUUAGUUUGAAUUUUACCACUUCUGUACAAUUAACAUUUAGUAAUUGCCUUUCUUUGUACCCAUUAAUAAAUGUGAUGACACCCAGAUAUUUAUUGUUUAUCAGUAGAUCUUUAACUAACCCAUCAAACAAUGUCAUUGAGGGAAUGUCUUGUAUAUCAGCUAAUAUGCUAAUCUUUUACUGAAGUAAAUGAAAUCAUCCACUCAGCAGAGAAAGAUUUUUAUUAGAUGUUUAAAUCUGAUAAAGCACAAAAUAUGUAGCCUAAAUAAAAAAGCCUCAUAUCCACAAGUUAGUUGAGUUCAUCUUUAUAGUUACAACUAAAAGAAAUGAGCUCCAACAGAAAUUCAGUAGAGGUGUUAAAUUAUGUAGUUUAAAUCCUUAACAGUGCACUGCAGCAAAACAGCAGACACAUUUUCUACAUCAAAGCAAAUAUGAAUAUUGUUCAAAACAAAAACACCUGCAUAUUCAGAGUAUGUGAGGUGGAUUAUUGCCUCAUCUUUAUUGAUAUAUCUUUAACUGUGCUAGUUAUAAGUGAUAACCUUCUGUAAUCUGAGAAACUCAUAAAAAUAGGAAUACAAUUUUCAAUAAGAAGAGGCAUUGCCAUUCAUGUUGUAAAUUGUUACUUGUAAUAGAGACUAUGAUGCAGCAAAAAACUAAAGCCGCUUGAAUGAAAAAACUAUAAGUGUUUUGGAAAAAUAUUUAGACUUAAUGAUUGAAAGAGUUUAUAAUACUUAUGUUAUCAUUUUAAACCACCUAUAAUCAUAGAAAGCUUAAAACAAAGAAGCAACAUAACUGAUCUGAAGUCUAGAAAGAUGCGAAAGUAAUUAGAUUAUCUCAAUGAUAUUAAAUCUUAGGAACUAUACAAAGAUACGGAAGAAACCAGUGGAAAAAUCCAGGAGUAAGUAAAUGCUGUUAGCAAUAAUACAAAGUUGAAUACUAAACAGAUGCAAUAGAAUCUCAAAUGUUACAAAACCAAAGACUUUUAACAUAAACUUUCACUCUAUUGGUUUUUACAAAUUUACUGUCUGAAUAAUUUACUUUUGUUAAAAUGUCACAUGUUAAAAUCUCAUAUGGUUAUACUCAGCUUGUUUACAAAUUUAUUUAUUCUUACGUUUUCUCGUUGCAAUGAUGGUUAUCCAUAAAAAUAUUUGUUAACGCUCAGCUAAACUCCAUGGAAUGACAUGCACCAUCAUCAAACAGCAUUACUAAUAUGUAAAUGAAGCUUCGUGCAAAAAUAGAAGUGUAUAGGUCAGUUUGUUGUUGAGAUAUCGUGCGGCUUAACAGACGGACAUAUUACAUUUUUCCAGCCUCUCGAAUGAUAGACUUUGUUAAUGCUCAGGCAAUGAAUAUAUAAAAAUAAAUUAACUUGGAUUCCACAAAGAUAUAGAAACAAUAAAAAGAAAAGAAAUAUAUUGAAUGAACUUUAAUUUCCAAAGACACAGAAUCAACAUGAAUGCUAACAAAUGUGAAACCUUACUUUAUUAAUAAUUAGCAUAAAAAUGUGAGGUCAGGUUGGAUUUACAUAGGUUUGGGUCCAAAUUUAAUGCUGUAAAGGAAGAGUCAAAUUUUGUAAAAAUGCAAAAAUAACUUGAAUGUCGCUAUGAUGUGAAGCUUAAAAUGAAAGAUAAGGAAGUAGUUUUACAAUGCUGCAUGUUUACAGAAGGACUUGAAUGUUGUUGCAAAGAUAAGGAAUCAGUUUGAAUAUCACUUAAAGCAACUUCGUUGGUUCAAAAAUAUAAAGCUAAUUAGAGUAAUAAAUACUUCAGAACAAGCAAAACUCGUAUUCUACAAUAAUGGUGAUGUACAGGAAGUAUUUCAAGAUUUUUCCCCUUUCCAAAAAGCGUAGGAAUAACUUAUUAUCUGUAAUGGGAGUUGAAUUUUGUCAUCUACGUGCUCUCCUUAGUAAAAUUUUUGUAUUAUUGGAAUUAUUAUUUUCAAUAAGAAUGCCAAGUACUCAUAUACUAGGUAUGUUAAAAAAGAAAUGAAAAUGUUAUAGUUUUGCGGGUUUAGAGAGUCCGAUUGUCAAGAUAUUUUAUUAUGUUGAUACUCAUGCUCCUGAAAUCUAAUAAAAUUUCCAGCUGUAUUCAUUAGAUGUUAUACACUUGUACUAUCGCUUCUUCCAAUUCUCUAAACACUUCUCAAACUUGAUUUGGGAAUAGCUUUUAUCUCUUUCAGUGAUGCAUUUUUAAAGUUAUCUAUGCUUGCAAAACAAUAGCCCUCUAAGGUUCUCUUUAUUGUUGGAAAUGCUCUGUUUCAAAAUGCUAUAUUUCACACCAUGUUAAACUCCAAACAUUUUUAUGACCAUACACAAUGGCAUGUUAUAAUCAGCUUAUUGAGCACCUAAAAUUUAAACAGAUGAUUGUUGUGGCUCACUAGCAGUGCUGUCACAUAAUGAUAGUUGUUAUUGUUUAGCACUCGUAUUUUUAAAAGUGAACUAUCUCCCUUAUUUAUCAACCGAUUUUCUUAAACUAUUCUUAAAAAAUUAUUUGUUUUAUAAUUAAAUUGUCUGUCUAAAAUGUAAAUUUUACCAUGUGUUUUUUCAAGUUAUUUACGCUAAAAGUUUUUAUAAAACCGCCAUAGUUAAAUUAGAUUUUGUAAAAAUUUUAAUUUUUUCUGUAAUUAUAAAGCUUUAGGUUUGCCUUUAUGUUAUAAAGCUAUAUCCUCAAUCUCAACUUAUUACAAACCAUUCUAAAAUUAAAAAUAGAUAAGUAAAAAAAAAUAUAAAAUGACAGCUGUUUGGGUACUUAUUGAGUUUUUGAUAAUUUGAAUAUGAUAAUAUCAUAUUAUUUUCAUAAGGCUUUGCUUCAGAAAUAAUAUCUGAAAAGAUUUGUAGAUAGUUCUGGGACUCUACAUGUUCAUUAAACCUUGCAAAGAACACAAAGAGUUCAGAAAUUCUUAGUUUCUAUGCUUACGUUGCUGCUGUAUAAUUAUCUUUCUGCUUCAAACCACAUCAAAAAAUUGCUAAUACAACUACUAUUAUUAGUUGUAUUAGCAAUUUUUUUAUGUUAUCUUGAGAUAUAUCAGCCUCUCUGUUAUAAACAGUAAUUUUACUAUUUAUCUUAGUGUUCAAGUUUGGCAUUGCCAUCAGUACAGCUAUGACUGAGCAAGAAGUCCCUUUGUCUGUUGCGCUAAGGAUUAUUAUUAUAAAGUUUUUAACCCAUUAAACCAUCGCAAAUUAGAACUCAUUUGCAGCCACAGUUUGGGGACAGUAUUGUCUUAGAGUUGUGAGUUUAUGUGAGUGAGAGAAUUUGAGAAUAGACGAGAACGGGUUGAAAACAAAAGUCAUGAUCAAUGCUCAAGCUCAAGCCUUAUAGAUGACAAUAUUGUACCGUUCAAGAUCUUAUUGAAUGUGAUCACCAGUUAAACCAUGGAAGAAAUUUCAUCGGAAGUUCAUAUCACCUAUGAUGGAAGUGUUCAAUCAGUAAUCAGCUUGGUUUCAGAAAAAUUAGUGCUCGAUGGGUUUUGAGUUUGUUGGCUGAAAACCAAAAACAGGUCAGGUCGGAGAUCGUUAGAAAGCUUCUGGAUCAAUUUCAGUAAAAAGAGGAGGCAUUUUUAAAGCGGAUUGUUACAUGUGAUGAGAAGUGGAUACAUUACUACACUCCCGAGUCAAAAAUGGUAAGUAAGGAGUGGCGGUGAAAGGAAGAAGUUUCCUCUUCGAAAGCCAAAAACUUGUCUCUCCGCUGGAAAGCCCUUCCUUGCAACAAUUUUUUGGAUUCUAGGGGAAUUUUACUAGUAGAUUUUCUACAUGACCAACGUUCAGUGAAUUUGGCUUAUUAUACUGUUAGUUAUAAUGACUGCUGAAACCCGUCUUGUCGAAGCAAAAGAUGAUACAUGCCCAUCAGAGAUGUUAUUCACUUCCAUGACAAUGCCAGGCCUCAAACCGCAGUUUCAACGAGGGAUACACUGGAAGAAAUGAGUUGAAAAGCCCUUUAGCACACGCCUUAUAGCCCUGUGAAUAUUUUUUGUUUGCAUGUAUGAAGGAAUCACUGGGAGAAAAGAUUUGAGAGCAAUGAAGAAGUUGAGGAGCACGUGCGCAAUUGGUUAACAACUCGCCCUCAAACUUUCUAUGACCAGGGUAUACCGAAACUUCCAAAUUGAUGGCAAAAUUAUGUAGAUUACUCAGGUCACUAUACUGAAAAAUUUUAAAACAAUAAUAAAUGUAGAAGGUUAUCAAACAAAGGUUAAAAAAAAAUAUUAUUACUUUUUAUAUUUGAUUUAGUCCCGUAGUUAUGAACAGUUGGAUGGAUUAAUUAUUGUAGGCCUGACCAUUUUGCAGUUUCAAUGAUACCUAACCUACAAUUUUUUGUGACUUAUACCGAGGCCCGAGCAGCAUCACAAGUUUCAUAGAUUCUAUAGAAACUAAAGUAUUCAAAUUGGCUUCACUGUUGUGAAUGUAUGUCAUCAAUGUUUCACUGUCUUUAAUUUUGUUUUGUAGUUUAAUGUUAGUCUAGACUUAUCUUUAGGCUGAAUAUGCUGUGUUGUUUUAGUCAUGGUAUUAUUUUGGAUCUAUUUUGUUUAAUGUUAGUGCUUGAAAUAGUUAUUUUUACAUAAUUUAAUUAUGAACAUAUUAUUUUUAUUUUCAGUGAUAAGUAGUUUUAAGUUUUGCUUUCAGUGAUAAUCAUUUUUAAGUUUUGCAAGAUAAUCAUGUUUGUAAAUGACAUUGGUGAGUUUUCCAUCUUUUAAAGGCUUUGUGAAUGCAAGGACGUGCAAGUUUCGUCUACAGUAAUUAAAUGUUCUACGUUUCAUCUUCCCGUUCUUCCUUCAUUAUCAUCUCCUAAUUCUUCUACAAUAGUCCUGCCUUAAAAUAUAGAAUAAUUUAGGUAUUCAGAUAUCUUGUAGUUAAAAAAUUAUUAGGUAAUUUUAGUAAUCUAAAUACUUAAGUCUUUCAGUUAAGUUAUAAGUACAGUAGAGUCCAUUUACCAAACUAUUGGGACUGAAUGAUCAGUUUAUUAAAUUGUUGAACUAUUCAAAAUAAUUACACAUUUAUUGAGAAAAAGAUAAAUCUUAAAGAGUUGUCAGUAGCUUAUAGUUGUAUUUUCAUAUUCCAAGACAACUGUUAGUUUAUUACUGUAACAAACAAAGAAAUGUCACAAGUUCAGAUUAACAUUUAUUGGUGGCAAAAGGUGGUUCCAAUGUUUUUGAAGGUAUUUCAAAAUAGUAAUGUGGUAACAAGAGAGUGGAGAAGGGGGAGACAAGGGGUUAGAUGUAAAAGCGUAUUUCUUUCCUACUCUCUUAUCAGCUCUCAAAUAUAUACCACAAUCUCAGUCCUUGCAUCUAUAAAAGUGUUGCUUACAAAAGUAACAAGAGUCACAGGUACAAAAUUGACAGUUGGCAUUCAUUAUUCGGUUUUGAUAUUGACAUUUUGCCAAACCAUAUUUUAUUGCUAUAGCCUCUAUAGUUUGUUGACAAGAAUAAAAAAAUGUAUUUAAAAUUAUUAAUAAUGUUUAUUUUUAUCUUGAUAUUGUAUUUGAUGGAUAAAACUAAAAUAAUUUUUAUUUCCUUCAAAAAUGUAUUAGUUUAUUCUUUUCUUGAGGGCAUUGGAAUUAAAUGCAUUUUUGAAUUAUCAGGGUUUUUUUUCUUUUCCGUAACAAUUGAGUGAGGACUUCAGUUUUCUCACCUUUGGGAAAACUUGAAAGCUGUAGGGAAAUUCAAAAUUAAAUAUUAGUGACCAAAGCAUAGACAAAAUCUCUCCGUUGUGAAACCUUGUAACAUAUAUAAACAUGUUUGUAUAUUGAAUGUAAGUGCAGUAAAGUAAAAAAUGAACACAGUUGACUUAUUACAGAUAUAAGAUGUAUCAGCUUAAUAAACCACUGGUUAUAUGUUUGAUACAAGUCGGAGAUUGAUAUAAUAAGCUCUAAAACAAUUCUAAGCUAGUGAAUAAGUAAUAAGGUUGUAAUUGCUUUAUUUCAGAUGUUUGACAUAUUGUAUUACAUUUACCUAAAAUAUUUGCAAAAAUGUUGAAGCUGCCUUCUUACUGCUUCAAUUCAUGCCAAAUGACAAUAUUUAGCAUUGUACUGUUGUAUUUUUAAUUAUUGUUCCCCUUGCAUGCUUAAGUAAGAAAUAGUUGGUCUCCCUAAGCUAAGUUUUUAAUCAAUAGUUUAUUUUAUUUCACAAUAAAUUACAAGUAGAAUGUAUAGUGUGUAGUCAGUCAUUUACAUUCUUUUUUUACAAUUUUACUAGGUGAAAUGUUUAAAUACUUUCCAUGAUAAAACUGUUAGAUUCUUGCAGAUUUGAUUCAUUAAGCCAACCAUUGCAUUUGGUUGUCCAACUUCCUGUAUUUGCUCACCAUUCCAAUGUUGUAUCAUUAGUUAAGUUAGUCCUAACUAGUCCUUAGUUUAGAGCUCUUCAACAACAAGUUUUGUACAAAUUUGUUAUGUUGUUAAAUGUUUUUUGUGUGGCUGAAAUACAUUUUUGUUUCAAUA